rnacentral:rRNA from 1 species
ACAUGCAAGUAGAACGCUGAAGAGAGGAGCUUGCUCUUCUUGGAUGAGUUGCGAACGGGUGAGUAACGCGUAGGUAACCUGCCUUGUAGCGGGGGAUAACUAUUGGAAACGAUAGCUAAUACCGCAUAACAAUGGAUGACACAUGUCAUUUAUUUGAAAGGGGCAAUUGCUCCACUACAAGAUGGACCUGCGUUGUAUUAGCUAGUAGGUGAGGUAAUGGCUCACCUAGGCGACGAUACAUAGCCGACCUGAGAGGGUGAUCGGCCACACUGGGACUGAGACACGGCCCAGACUCCUACGGGAGGCAGCAGUAGGGAAUCUUCGGCAAUGGGGGCAACCCUGACCGAGCAACGCCGCGUGAGUGAAGAAGGUUUUCGGAUCGUAAAGCUCUGUUGUAAGUCAAGAACGGGUGUGAGAGUGGAAAGUUCACACUGUGACGGUAGCUUACCAGAAAGGGACGGCUAACUACGUGCCAGCAGCCGCGGUAAUACGUAGGUCCCGAGCGUUGUCCGGAUUUAUUGGGCGUAAAGCGAGCGCAGGCGGUUUGAUAAGUCUGAAGUUAAAGGCUGUGGCUCAACCAUAGUUCGCUUUGGAAACUGUCAAACUUGAGUGCAGAAGGGGAGAGUGGAAUUCCAUGUGUAGCGGUGAAAUGCGUAGAUAUAUGGAGGAACACCGGUGGCGAAAGCGGCUCUCUGGUCUGUAACUGACGCUGAGGCUCGAAAGCGUGGGGAGCGAACAGGAUUAGAUACCCUGGUAGUCCACGCCGUAAACGAUGAGUGCUAGGUGUUGGAUCCUUUCCGGGAUUCAGUGCCGCAGCUAACGCAUUAAGCACUCCGCCUGGGGAGUACGACCGCAAGGUUGAAACUCAAAGGAAUUGACGGGGGCCCGCACAAGCGGUGGAGCAUGUGGUUUAAUUCGAAGCAACGCGAAGAACCUUACCAGGUCUUGACAUCCCGAUGCUAUUUCUAGAGAUAGAAAGUUACUUCGGUACAUCGGUGACAGGUGGUGCAUGGUUGUCGUCAGCUCGUGUCGUGAGAUGUUGGGUUAAGUCCCGCAACGAGCGCAACCCCUAUUGUUAGUUGCCAUCAUUCAGUUGGGCACUCUAGCGAGACUGCCGGUAAUAAACCGGAGGAAGGUGGGGAUGACGUCAAAUCAUCAUGCCCCUUAUGACCUGGGCUACACACGUGCUACAAUGGUUGGUACAACGAGUUGCGAGUCGGUGACGGCGAGCUAAUCUCUUAAAGCCAAUCUCAGUUCGGAUUGUAGGCUGCAACUCGCCUACAUGAAGUCGGAAUCGCUAGUAAUCGCGGAUCAGCACGCCGCGGUGAAUACGUUCCCGGGCCUUGUACACACCGCCCGUCACACCACGAGAGUUUGUAACACCCGAAGUCGGUGAGGUAACCUUUGGAGCCAGCCGCCU